ACUCAAAUGAAUUGACGGGGACCCGCACAAGCAGCGGAGCAUGUGGUUUAAUUCGACGCAACGCGAAGAACCUUACCUGGGCUUGACAUGACCCUGACCGCCUUGGAAACAAGGCUUCCCUUCGGGGCAGGGCCACAGGUGGUGCAUGGCUGUCGUCAGCUCGUGUCGUGAGAUGUUGGGUUAAGUCCCGCAACGAGCGCAACCCCCGUCGCAUGUUGCCAGCAUUUAGUUGGGGACUCAUGCGAGACUGCCGGUGACAAACCGGAGGAAGGUGGGGAUGACGUCAAGUCAUCAUGCCCCUUAUGUCCAGGGCUACACACGUGCUACAUUGGCCGGUACAGAGGGUUGCGAUACCGCGAGGUGGAGCGAAUCCCUCAAAGCCGGUCUCGGUUCGGAUUGCAGGCUGAAACUCGCCUGCAUGAAGGCGGAGUUGCUAGUAAUCGCGGAUCAGCAAUGCCGCGGUGAAUACGUUCCCGGGUCUUGUACACACCGCCCGU
rnacentral:rRNA from 1 species